AAAUUGAAGAGUUUGAUCAUGGCUCAGAUUGAACGCUGGCGGCAGGCCUAACACAUGCAAGUCGAACGGUAACAGGAAGCAGCUUGCUGCUUCGCUGACGAGUGGCGGACGGGUGAGUAAUGUCUGGGAAACUGCCUGAUGGAGGGGGAUAACUACUGGAAACGGUAGCUAAUACCGCAUAAUGUCGCAAGACCAAAGAGGGGGACCUUCGGGCCUCUUGCCAUCGGAUGUGCCCAGAUGGGAUUAGCUUGUUGGUGGGGUAACGGCUCACCAAG
rnacentral:rRNA from 1 species